rnacentral:sRNA from 1 species
GACAAAAUUGACUUUUGUGAGACAAAAUUGACUUUUGUGAGACAAAAUUGACAAAAUUGAGUUUUGUCUCACAAAAGUCAAUUUUGUAUGCAAAUUU